rnacentral:rRNA from 1 species
GGGUUGUGAGGUUAAGCGACUAAGCGUACACGGUGGAUGCCCUGGCAGUCAGAGGCGAUGAAGGGCGUGCUAAUCUGCGAUAAGCGCCGGUAAGGUGAUAUGAACCGUUAUAACCGGCGAUACCCGAAUGGGGAAACCCAGUGUGACUCGUCACACUAUCAUUAACUGAAUCCAUAGGUUAAUGAGGCGAACCGGGGGAACUGAAACAUCUAAGUACCCCGAGGAAAAGAAAUCAACCGAGAUUCCCUCAGUAGCGGCGAGCGAACGGGGAGGAGCCCAGAGCCUGAAUCAGCAUGUGUGUUAGUGGAAGCGUCUGGAAAGGCGCGCGAUACAGGGUGACAGCCCCGUACACAAAAGCGCAUGUGCUGUGAGCUCGAUGAGUAGGGCGGGACACGUGGUAUCCUGUCUGAAUAUGGGGGGACCAUCCUCCAAGGCUAAAUACUCCUGACUGACCGAUAGUGAACCAGUACCGUGAGGGAAAGGCGAAAAGAACCCCGGCGAGGGGAGUGAAAAAGAACCUGAAACCGUGUACGUACAAGCAGUGGGAGCACCCUUUGGGGUGUGACUGCGUACCUUUUGUAUAAUGGGUCAGCGACUUAUAUUCUGUAGCAAGGUUAACCGAAUAGGGGAGCCGGAGGGAAACCGAGUCUUAACCGGGCGUUAAGUUGCAGGGUAUAGACCCGAAACCCGGUGAUCUAGCCAUGGGCAGGUUGAAGGUUGGGUAACACUAACUGGAGGACCGAACCGACUAAUGUUGAAAAAUUAGCGGAUGACCUGUGGCUGGGGGUGAAAGGCCAAUCAAACCGGGAGAUAGCUGGUUCUCCCCGAAAGCUAUUUAGGUAGCGCCUCGUGAAUUCAUCUCCGGGGGUAGAGCACUGUUUCGGCUAGGGGGCCAUCCCGGCUUACCAACCCGAUGCAAACUGCGAAUACCGGAGAAUGUUAUCACGGGAGACACACGGCGGGUGCUAACGUCCGUCGUGAAGAGGGAAACAACCCAGACCGCCAGCUAAGGUCCCAAAGUCAUGGUUAAGUGGGAAACGAUGUGGGAAGGCCCAGACAGCCAGGAUGUUGGCUUAGAAGCAGCCAUCAUUUAAAGAAAGCGUAAUAGCUCACUGGUCGAGUCGGCCUGCGCGGAAGAUGUAACGGGGCUAAACCAUGCACCGAAGCUGCGGCAGCGACGCUGAUGCGUUGUUGGGUAGGGGAGCGUUCUGUAAGCCUGUGAAGGUGUGCUGUGAGGCAUGCUGGAGGUAUCAGAAGUGCGAAUGCUGACAUAAGUAACGAUAAAGCGGGUGAAAAGCCCGCUCGCCGGAAGACCAAGGGUUCCUGUCCAACGUUAAUCGGGGCAGGGUGAGUCGACCCCUAAGGCGAGGCCGAAAGGCGUAGUCGAUGGGAAACGGGUUAAUAUUCCCGUACUUGGUGUUACUGCGAAGGGGGGACGGAGAAGGCUAUGUUGGCCGGGCGACGGUUGUCCCGGUUUAAGCGUGUAGGUGUGUGUUCCAGGUAAAUCCGGUUCACUUUAACACUGAGGCGUGACGACGAGGCACUACGGUGCUGAAGCAACAAAUGCCCUGCUUCCAGGAAAAGCCUCUAAGCAUCAGGUAACAUCAAAUCGUACCCCAAACCGACACAGGUGGUCAGGUAGAGAAUACCAAGGCGCUUGAGAGAACUCGGGUGAAGGAACUAGGCAAAAUGGUGCCGUAACUUCGGGAGAAGGCACGCUGACACGUAGGUGAAGUGAUUUACUCAUGGAGCUGAAGUCAGUCGAAGAUACCAGCUGGCUGCAACUGUUUAUUAAAAACACAGCACUGUGCAAACACGAAAGUGGACGUAUACGGUGUGACGCCUGCCCGGUGCCGGAAGGUUAAUUGAUGGGGUCAGCGCAAGCGAAGCUCCUGAUCGAAGCCCCGGUAAACGGCGGCCGUAACUAUAACGGUCCUAAGGUAGCGAAAUUCCUUGUCGGGUAAGUUCCGACCUGCACGAAUGGCGUAAUGAUGGCCAGGCUGUCUCCACCCGAGACUCAGUGAAAUUGAACUCGCUGUGAAGAUGCAGUGUACCCGCGGCAAGACGGAAAGACCCCGUGAACCUUUACUAUAGCUUGACACUGAACAUUGAGCCUUGAUGUGUAGGAUAGGUGGGAGGCUUUGAAGUGUGGACGCCAGUCUGCAUGGAGCCGGCCUUGAAAUACCACCCUUUAAUGUUUGAUGUUCUAACGUGGACCCGUGAUCCGGGUUGCGGACAGUGUCUGGUGGGUAGUUUGACUGGGGCGGUCUCCUCCUAAAGAGUAACGGAGGAGCACGAAGGUUGGCUAAUCCUGGUCGGACAUCAGGAGGUUAGUGCAAUGGCAUAAGCCAGCUUGACUGCGAGCGUGACGGCGCGAGCAGGUGCGAAAGCAGGUCAUAGUGAUCCGGUGGUUCUGAAUGGAAGGGCCAUCGCUCAACGGAUAAAAGGUACUCCGGGGAUAACAGGCUGAUACCGCCCAAGAGUUCAUAUCGACGGCGGUGUUUGGCACCUCGAUGUCGGCUCAUCACAUCCUGGGGCUGAAGUAGGUCCCAAGGGUAUGGCUGUUCGCCAUUUAAAGUGGUACGCGAGCUGGGUUUAGAACGUCGUGAGACAGUUCGGUCCCUAUCUGCCGUGGGCGCUGGAGAACUGAGGGGGGCUGCUCCUAGUACGAGAGGACCGGAGUGGACGCAUCACUGGUGUUCGGGUUGUCAUGCCAAUGGCACUGCCCGGUAGCUAAAUGCGGAAGAGAUAAGUGCUGAAAGCAUCUAAGCACGAAACUUGCCCCGAGAUGAGUUCUCCCUGAGACUUAGAGUCUCCUGAAGGAACGUUGAAGACGACGACGUUGAUAGGCCGGGUGUGUAAGCGCAGCGAUGCGUUGAGCUAACCGGUACUAAUGAACCGUGAGGCUUAACCUUACAACGCCGAAG